ACAUCCCUACGGGGCGCAGCAGUGAGGAAUAUUGGUCAAUGGGCGAGAGCCUGAACCAGCCAAGUCGCGUGAAGGAUGACGGCCCUACGGGUUGUAAACUUCUUUUGUCAGGGAGCAAUUGGGUCCACGCGUGGGCUUAGCGAGAGUACCUGACUAAGAAGCCCCGGCUAACUACGUGCCAGCAGCCGCGGUAAUACGUAGGGGGCAAGCGUUAUCCGGAUUUACUGGGUGUAAAGGGAGCGUAGGUGGCAGGGCAAGUCAGCUGUGAAAACCCGGGGCUCAACCCCGGGAGUGCAUUUGCAACU
rnacentral:rRNA from 1 species